CCAGACUCCUACGGGAGGCAGCAGUGGGGAAUAUUGGGCAAUGGGCGCAAGCCUGACCCAGCAACGCCGCGUGAAGGAAGAAGGCUUUCGGGUUGUAAACUUCUUUUGUCAGGGACGAAGCAAGUGACGGUACCUGACGAAUAAGCCCCGGCUAACUACGUGCCAGCAGCCGCGGUAAUACGUAGGGGGCAAGCGUUAUCCGGAUUCACUGGGUGUAAAGGGAGCGUAGACGGCGACGCAAGUCUGGAGUGAAAGCCCGGGGCCCAACCCCGGGACUGCUCUGGAAACUGCGUCGCUGGAGUACGGGAGGGGCAGGCGGAAUUCCUGGUGUAGCGGUGAAAUGCGUAGAUAUCAGGAGGAACACCGGCGGCGAAGGCGGCCUGCUGGACCGUGACUGACGUUGAGGCUCGAGAGCGUGGGGAGCAAACAGGAUUAGAUACCCUAGUAC
rnacentral:rRNA from 1 species